rnacentral:lncRNA from 1 species
GGGGCUAGGUGUGUCUGAGCUCUGACUCUCCUUGUGUGGGUCUUUCUGUGGCUGUUGUGGGGGAUAGGGGUGAGAUGCCCAGGUUAAUGGAGUUGUGUACAUAGGAGGAUUAUGCUGCCUCUGCUGAGUCAUGCAGGUUGUCAGGGAAGUGGGGGAAAGCCGGCAGUCAUAGGCCUCACCCAGCUCCCAUGCAAACCAAAGAGCAGUUCUCAUGGAGCCUGUUUCCAGGUGGUGGGCAAGAUGGGCUUGAAAACUUGCCUCAGGCUACCUGCCUCUCAACUAUGGAAAAAAAGGGCUUGGUUCUUCCCCUGCCUGUGGAGUCUGCACAACAGAUUUGUGCCCUCCCAUGAGUUCUGGCCAGGAGGCUUCUCGCCCUGUUCAAAUUGUUACAAAGUUCAACUAUAGAUUUCUUUCUUCCUGUGGAGUUUCAACACCUGCUCCUCUGGCCACCCUCACAAUGGAUCCCUGUGGUGCCAAGCAGGAAUGGCCUGUUUGGGCACCCAGUGAGCUCCCAGGGCCUUUCUACUGCUUCCUCAAACCCUGUAUUUUGCUCAGCUCUCUAAAUGGAUUCAACUCCAGAGAAGACUAUCAAGUAGUUAGGAAAGAAAGUCAGUGAGAUGUCUCAGGCGUGACUCAGCUACGGAAACAAUAGCAAUCAGAGGACAUUUGGAGAUGAAGAAAAAAAAGAAACAAACUUCAAUACAAUGAGAAAUAUACCAGUACAUGUAUGACACUCAAGUAACAUAAUGAUCUUAAGGCUAAUUUACUACCUCCUUGUUGCCUGACAGAGACCUGGAACCAAACCCAGAACUUCACUUCCCUGUGCCAGAAGGAUUCCAGUGAGCUUUUCCCACAGGCCCUACAGUCUUCUCCAGAGUCACACUCUGUCACCCAGGGUGAAGUGCAAUGGCACAAUCUCGGCUCACCACAACCUCCACCUCCUGGGUUUAAGAGAUUCUCCUGCCUCAGCCUUCCAAGUAGCUGGGAUUACAGGCAUAUGCCACCGGGUCCGGAAUUUUGUGUAUUCACAACAACAUUUGCUGCAUUGGUACAGUGUGACAGAUACAGCACUGAGUACUGACAAACUGGGGAUAUAAUUAUUAAUGAAUAAAGGCAAAAGCAUGACACUUAAGGACAUAAUCUAGUAGACUGUAAUGUGAUGGAACUUGCUCUGUCACCCACGACUGGAGUGCAGUGGCAUUAUCAUAGCUCACUGGAGCAUCAAACUCCCAGGCUCAAGGGAUUCUUCUACCUCAGCCUCCCGAGAAGAUUAGGUAUACAUCAGCAUGCCUCCCAAG